UGGGGAAUUUUGGACAAUGGGCGAAAGCCUGAUCCAGCAAUGCCGCGUGUGUGAAGAAGGCCUUCGGGUUGUAAAGCACUUUUGUCCGGAAAGAAAUCCUUGGCUCUAAUACAGUCGGGGGAUGACGGUACCGGAAGAAUAAGCACCGGCUAACUACGUGCCAGCAGCCGCGGUAAUACGUAGGGUGCAAGCGUUAAUCGGAAUUACUGGGCGUAAAGCGUGCGCAGGCGGUCUGCUAAGACCGAUGUGAAAUCCCCGGGCUCAACCUGGGAACUGCAUUGGUGACUGGCAGGCUAGAGUAUGGCAGAGGGGGGUAGAAUUCCACGUGUAGCAGUGAAAUGCGUAGAGAUGUGGAGGAAUACCGAUGGCGAAGGCAGCCCCCUGGGCCAAUACUGACGCUCAUGCACGAAAGCGUGGGGGAGCAAAACAGGAUUAGAUACCCUGGUAGUCCACGCCCUAAACGAUGUCAACUAGUUGUUGGGGAUUCAUUUCCUUAGUAACGUAGCUAACGCGUGAAGUUGACCGCCUGGGGAGUACGGUCGCAAGAUUAAAACUCAAAUGAAUUGACGGGGUCAUAGCUGUUUCCU
rnacentral:rRNA from 1 species